UACAGAGGUCUCAAGCGUUGUUCGGAUUCAUUGGGCGUAAAGGGUGCGUAGGUGGCGGGGUAAGUUGGAUGUGAAAUCCCGGGGCUCAACCCCGGAACUGCAUUCAAUACUGCCUUGCUAGAGUACUGGAGAGGAGAUUGGAAUUUACGGUGUAGCAGUGAAAUGCGUAGAUAUCGUAAGGAAGACCAGUGGCGAAGGCGGAUCUCUGGACAGUUACUGACACUGAGGCACGAAGGCCAGGGGAGCAAACGGGG
rnacentral:rRNA from 1 species